CCCGCACACACACGCACACACACACACACACACACACCUGGUAUUUCCAAACCGUACGCGGAAUUUGCGCACACCGACGACGACGUAGCAGUAGGUAUAUACAUACGCUCCGACACCACGUACGCUCACGUUUACAUCUAUACGAUAUAUAUAUAUAUAUACGCACACGUCACGUACGCCCGCGUGAUGUGUCGCCCCGGCGGUCAGUAGUCGGCGGCGCGCCACGUGCUCUCUACACACGACGCUCUGCGCUCCGUCAUACGCGUCCACCGCCUGGACGUGCGACCGCAUUACGCGCUCGCGCGCCGUGCACACCACGUGCUGCACGCCAUUCACGCGAUCGCGCGCGCGCCCACUCGCACACGCGCACUGGUACGCUCACUCGCCCGCGCAUAUUGUACACAUACACACACGCGUGCGCGCGUUCAACGCAUCGGCCAUCACACUGGUGUUUCGUGACGUCUUUAUCGAUCGUGAUGAAUUAUUUAUUGACAUUAUCUUUAAUGGAGUUGAAACAAUAUGGAAUAGGAAGUUCCGGAUAGCUUUCCAUUAUCUAUAUAAAAUAUUCAAAAAAACAUACGCGGUCAACUGUUUUUAUGUUUUCGGGUCCACAGCCGUCAGAUGGUCGCGAACGAUAUACUUCCGGAGGUUCGAUUUGCAAACCGUGUUCAUCUGGAUUGGAGACCUAAGCUACCCAUAUAUACUACGACAUUGUCCUGGUCCAGACCGGACGUGCAGUUUAUGUGGUCCAUAAAUCUUUGUCAAUAAAGUCAUAAUAUAUAAAGGAAAAACCUUUUCAACACUUCAUCAUGAACGUUGGAAAAAAAGGUUAAUCCCGGUUUCAUUCACGGAUCUCGGAGGCGCCUUCGGUGGUCUCAACCAGAUUACGGGCACUGACUAGAGUAUAUUAUAUUGUAAGAGUUACGAAAUAAACGUCCCCUGGAGGGACAUAUAUAUAUAUAGGUA